rnacentral:rRNA from 1 species
AUUGAACGCUGGCGGCAGGCCUAACACAUGCAAGUCGAGCGCGCGGCGGACGGGUGAGUAAUGUAUGGGGACUGCCCGAUCGAGGGGGAUAACGACUGGAGACGGUGGCUAAUACCGCAUACUGUCGGAUGACCACUAUGGGAUUAGAUAGUAGGUAAGGUAAUGGCAUACCUAGGCGACGAUCCCUAGCUGGUCUGAGAGGAUGAUCAGCCACACUGUGACUGAGACACGGCCCAGACUCCUACGGAGGCAGCAGUGGGGAAUAUUGCACAAUGGGCGCAAGUCUGAUGCAGCCAUGCCGCGUGUAUGAAGAAGGCCCUAGGGUUGUAAAGUACUUUCAGUCGGGAGGCGUUACCGACAGAAGAAGCACCGGCUAACUCCGUGCCAGCAGCCGCGGUAAUAC